GUGCCCGUGUGGCGUGCUGGCUAGCGGUGGGUUGGAACAGACAAGCAGUUAUUCUAGUAACGAUCAGUGCACGAAGUGGAGCUUCGGAACUGGCAUUACAGACGGAGAGCGAGCGGAGCCGGGAUGAGAAAAAGAGUCGAGAGGAAAAACACUCACAGUUGGUGAAUCAGGCGGCAACUGACGUCGGCAAGGUUUCGGAGCUCCUGACAUGAAGAGAACGAUGUCUGAGCGGCGAACAGGUUAAAGGAUGAACUCUGAUGAUGAAAGCCCACGCCUCAGAGAAACCCGGAAUGGAGUUUCUUACAAUUUGGUGUCAGAAGUGGGAUCCGCUGACAAAGCCUCUCCCUUCUACAGAUCCAACCCAUCCGUGGAAACCAGGAGACGCGGUGUUGGUGAAGUCGCU
ensembl:lncRNA